UGUGGACGGAACGCCCAUUAGAGAAUACAAGAAUAGUGAAUCAAUGGGAGUUUCAUAUCCGAAGAACCAACCAAUGAGGAUUUACUCAAGUCUUUGGAAUGCAGAUGAUUGGGCUACAAGAGGAGGACUUGUCAAGACUGAUUGGAGCCAAGCACCCUUUAGUGCUUCUUACAGAAACUUCAGUGCUAAUGCUUGUAUUCCCAGUUCUUCAUCUUCUUGCAAUUCCAAUACUACAACUUCAACAAGCAAUUCAUGGUUGAAUGAAGAGUUAGAUAGCACAAGCCAAGAGAGGCUUAAAUGGGUGCAGAAGAAUUACAUGGUCUAUAAUUACUGCACUGAUUCUAAGCGAUUUCCACAAGGAUUUCCAGUAGAUUGUGUUCAGAAUAACUGAGCAUUUAUAGUGAAAAAAUAGUGUAUUCUCUUAAAUAUUUUUUAUCUCUAGAACUAUUGUAAUGAUUCUUUUAUUGUUUUGUACCCAUCAGUAGAAGAUGCAAUAAUUAUUGAGGAUUAGAAACAUCUUAGUUUUGUACUAAGUUUAUAUAAACAAUGAAAUAGAUAUUUUCUUUUAUACUUUGUGUUUUGGAUAUGUUUUUUUUUCUUUUUAAUCAAAUUUGACCCAAUGGGCCAAUUUUAUUGAUAAAUAUGUCGGAGGAAUUUUCACAUAUAGCCACUAAAAAUAACCUAAUUACUCUCCAUAACUAUAGUUUGAUAAUUGCAAUUUGUAGCUACAUGUUAUAUGAGGAGAGAUGCGAGCGAGACUGGGAGAGAGAGGAGAGAGGCGAGCGAGAGAAGGCAAAGAGUGGGAGAGAGGUAAAUUGUACAUAUAUAUAUAUCAGUUAGAUAAUUGUAUAUUAUACAUAUGUAUUUGUAUAUCCUGGCGAAUUAUACAUAUACAAACGUGGAGAAUUAUACAAACUCGAAGUCAGCUCACGUAAUUAAUGUAUAAUGUUAGUCACGAGUGAUAAUUAUAGCAAAUUAUAGCUAUGAUGAGUAAUUAAAUAAUAUAAAUUUGCUUAACCGCAUAAUUUUUCCUAUAUGGAAACAAUAAAGCUGAAAAGGAGGUCCAAAAUGAACAGCCUAAAGCCUAAAAAAUACUCUCUCUGUCCCUAUUUAUUUGUCCAUUUUUCACUUUAUAGUUGUCCCUAAUUACUUAUCCAUUUUGACAAAUCAAGAAAAAAUAUAUUUUUUUAACUUUUUGAAAAUAUUAAUUUUUUAAUUCAUCCACUUCAUAAUUAAUAGGGGUAAAAUGGUAAACUCACUAUGUCAAUAAUUAUUUUUUAAAUAAAUGUGUUAAUUCAAAAGCAGACAAAUAAUUAGGGAUAGAGGGAGUAAGAUGGAAAACAAAAAAAUCUAGAUUUAUCGUCUACAUCUUCUUUGCAUUUAGAAAAGUAACUCUUCACCUUCUAUAUAUCACUCAUGGCAGCAUCAAGUUCUUUUAACUUAGUCCUAUCUCUGAUGUAUCUUAAUUCAUCAAUACGUCGAGUAUCUCCCUUAUAACGUUUGUAAAAAGUCGAUUCAUCUAUCUACCUUCCCACAUCUAAUCGUCUUUAUUUUUUACUUUCAAAUCUUAAGAAUGGAUACAGGGCCGGCUCUGUGGUUUGGAAAAUAAGGCCUUUGCCUUAGGCCCCAAAUUUCGGGGCCCCAAAUUUUUAUCAAGAAUAAAUUAUGUCCUAAAAUUUUUAUAGAAAAAAUUGAUUAUUUAUGAUAAAAGGUGUAAUUUUUUUUAAAAUAAAUUAUUUUAUCCACUUUAACAUUUUUUGUAUUGUGUUAAAAAUAAGAAUUAAUAGUGAAAAGUGUUGAACAAAGUGAAUUACAAAUUCUUUUUUAUUUCUUUUUAAAUUUUAGUUUCAAGCAUUACUACAAGCAUAUUAAAAUGAGGUAUACCAAGUCAUCAACUUUUUGAGUCAAAUUCUAUAGUUCUAACUCUUAUCUUUAUUUAAUAUUUAUCAACUUAUCACUUAUAGCAUUAUGUUAACAAUACAUAUAAUAAUUGCCUCACUUAAAUGAUGUUUUUCAAUGUUGAGUUGAUAAAAUCUUAUCUAAAACUAGUAACUGAAAAAAUAAUAUAUACUAUUAAAUACUAAUGAUUUUCAUCUAAAUAGUAUAAGAAAAAUAAUUUUUGAAUAAAUACGUAUAUAAAGUUUAGUUAUAUUUUAGGCCGCGAAUUGAAAUUUCGCUUUAGAUCUCCAAUUACGUUGAGCCGCCCCUGAAUGGAUAACAAGUUUCGGUGGUCCUCCAUACUCGUACUACCUCAUGUAAAUUGAUCUUUCCUUUGUUUUUCCGCAUAUGACCUCCAAUUCACCUUUGAUUCGAUUGAAGUUUUUAUGUGUUCUUGAUAGAUUCAGCUCCAUGCGCCGUUGUGUUAAUUGUGCUAUUUUUUGUCCUUUCACAAAAUCAUGAAUAAAAUAACAUUGUUUAUUGCUUCUCUUGAAAGCUAUCAUAAUAUAAAUAUUGUUGUUUGUGGUUGAUUGGAGAAUUACUAUUCAACUUUAUAUAAUUGGAGAUUAGAGGUGAAAUAAAGAGUGUUUGAAGAAGACAUUCUCUAUUUUACACUCCAAAUAUAGAGACUGAAGAGUGAAAUAAAGAGGGUUGGAAAUAGAUUACAGUAGAAUGAAAACGAAUUUGCAUCGUUUCAAAUUAUAGAGAAUGAAUAGUAAAAUAGAGAGGGUUGGAGAUGGAAGUACAGUAGAAUGAAAGUGAAUUUGCAUCAUUUCAAAUUCCUAUCUUAAUUGAUGAGAAGGCGGGAGAAAAGGCUAAAUAUUUAGGACCCGUUUGACCAUAAAUAUAUUUGGGAAAAACUUGAAAAUGGUGUUUGGUUAUACAACUUGCCACUACUUGAUAAAUAUAGUUUUCAAAUAUCCCAAGUUUUCAAAUACUAAAAAAAAUUAGUAUUUGGCUAAGUUCUAAUAUUUGAGAAUUUUUAAAAAUUUAAAAAAUACCCCAAACUUUAUAUUUUAUAAAAAAACACCCAUCAUUUAUUAAUUCCAACUACUUCCUCUGUCCCAAUUUAUGUGACUUACUUUCCUUUUUAGUCGGUCCAAAAAAUAAUGACACAUUUUUAUAUUGAGUAACAAUUUAACUAUAAAUUAUCUAUUUUAUACUUAAUGAAAACCACAAGUUUUAAAAGUCUUUCUUUCUUUCUUAAACUCUGUGCCGUGUCAAACUACCUCACAUAAAAUGGGACGGAAGGAGUAAUAUUUAUCUAUCAAAUUACUCCAUUAAUAACUUAUAACCAGAUUGAGAAAAAAAGAACAAUUUAUUUUUAAUGAGUUAUAAGUAAUUCUGAAUCAGUAACAAGUUUGAGUGUGCAAUUAAGGUAUUGCUCUUUCCCAUAUUGCUAUUUUGUUGUGGUUAAUUCUUAUCAAUUAUGUUCUAGGGUUAUUUUUUUUAAUGAACACGUUCAUUAUAAAAUGAUAAUACAAAAUUAAAGGUUUUUUUUUUUUGAAUUAUGGAUAUAGAUCAUAUUUUUUGAAAUAGUCAAAUAUUUCUUUCAAAUUUAUGGGCAAGCGCAUGGUGAAACUUCACCUAAAAAUGAUUUGCCAAGCAUAUUUGGGAAUUUGGAGUCAAACGCUAGCUCAUACUUAAUUAUAUAAUUAUAUUUUUGCAAUAAAAAUAUAUAUUUAUAAUUACACUAUAAUUACAUUAUGGCAAAUAAGCAAAUCAUUAUAAUUACUAUACUAUAUAAUUACUAGGUUAUACUCCCUAUAGUUCAUAUUAACUAAAUUUUUGAGAGAAUGCACCCCAUUAAGAAAAAUAAUUUAGGACAUAAAUUGAACUAUCACUUUACAUUUUUGACCUUUUAGUUAUUCUCAAAUUAUUUUAAAAAAUAGAAAUAAUUUAAAGCAAAAUUAUAAAUAUGAACAACUAACUCUCUUAAACUUAUCACCUAUGUAAAUGAAAUGCAAAUAUAAAAGAAAUUUCCUACAACUCUCUUAUAUAUUGAACAAUUAACUUAUUUUAAACAUUAAAUAAAGACUAAAAAAUCAAUUAUUAUGAUUUGAGGAAGUAUAAUUAUACAAAUUUCAAUCAUUACGUGACCUUCUGAAAAAAAAAAAAACCCUGGGCUAAGACACAAGUGCCAUUCAUUCAUUGUUUUUUUUUUGUUUUUUUUUGUUUUUUUUUUAUUCUUUUUCUUUAUCUUUUCUUUUGAUUCGAUUUCGAAUUUAAUUCCAAAUAUUUAAAAUAUAUUAAUUUCAAACAUAUAUCAAAAUAAGUAAAAAAACUAAAUAAAAUAUUAAAAAAAUUAAAACUUUAAAAUUAAAGGGCACUUUUUUGAAUAUAUAUAUAUAUAUACACGUAAAUUUUUAAAAAUAAUUAAAAGUGAAAAGAGAAAAAAAGUUUAAUGUGAGGAGAGAAAUAGAUAUUUUACAAAUAAAGAAAUGAAAUAAUUAAAUAUUUAUAAUUUUUAAUGUCAAUAAUUAUGUGUAUUAACUCAUUAUAAAAUGACCAAUUAAAAAAAAGACAUGUGUUUCUCUAUGCCAUGUCAGCAUCUAGGGUGUAUUUAUUUUAUUUUAAAAUAAUUUAUUAAGAUAAUAGAACCACAGUUAAGUUUAGAUGUGACGUUGAAAUUUCGAGUAUAGUUCAAUGUAGGGGUGAAAAAACGGAACAACAAUCGAGAAAAGAAACCCAACUAGUGGUUUGGUAUUGAAAAUUCUUUUUUGAACAUAUUUGGGUUGGGUUAGUUUUAACUUUAAAAAGUCAGCCCGAGUCCAAAUCAACUCAACAUUAUAUAUAUAAUUUUUAAAAUUUAUUUUAUACAUAAAAGUAGAUUUUUUCUUAUACUUGUUUAUAGUUUUUAUCUUUUAACAUAUUAUUUCAGUUUGAUUUAAAAUUUUGAACAGUCUAAUAAAUAUUGUAAUUCAUUAUUUUCUUAAUAAAUCCACCAAUUUAUACUAUUUCUAAUAUUCUCGACACCAUAUAGUGCAGGGAAACUUUUAUUUUGUUCUUGUUGUUUGAGGAUGGAGAAUGAUGGUUGACAAAAUAUUGAAUGAAGGAAAUGCAAAAUGCACUACGGAAAGUGUACAUGAUAAACAAAUGAAAAGGCCAAUCUGAAAAAUGAAAAUGGUGCAAAAUUUACACGAAUGUAGGAGUAGUGUGGGAUUAGAUACACAUCUUGAUUUGAAAUUUGUUAAAGACCAGCUCCAGCUGAUUGGUCCACAGAUAAUAUAGCCACGGGAUAUAACCUCUUCCUAGUCAAAUACCUUAAGGCGGUUCUACACCCAACUAAUACAAUGUAGGUACACUUGAAUAAAAAACAAUACAUUAAAGUUGAACUAGUUCCAAUGAAAAUGAUAAUGUGAGACUAACCAGGGUUGUAAUGGAUGUGAAAGUGGGCAAAACUCUCACAUUGGUCGAAAAAUUGACUGAUGGUAUCUUUAUAUGGAUUUGAGUAAUUUUCCCUUCAUAAGCUAACUUUUGAGGUUGAGUUAGACUCAGAUGACAUAUUUUUAAAUGAUAUCAGAUUCAGGUUCAUCCCCGUUUAGGCUUUCGUUAUAUGGACUUGAGCAAUCCUCCCUCAUAAAUUUUGAAUUCAAAUCUUUUUGAGUAUGAAGUCACCUUUGUUAGAAAAUAUUUUACCCCAAUGUAAAACUUUCCAAUGCAAACUCAAAUUUAACCGAGUUUCAAUGCGACUAGACACUACCAUUUAUGGGUUGUCACAUAGCUUUGAUGGCAUCAUUUUUUUCCCCUGUUUCCAGCUCAAUAUACACUCAAUCUUUUUUUCUUACUUUCUGUUUUACUUUGAACCUUCCUCUUUAUUUCCUCAAGCCUUAGACCCCACACGCUCUAGCUACUUAUUUGUUGGUGAGGUGGGGGUGGUAUAAACCCUUAUAAAACCCAAUCUAGCUUUCCAACUCAAAUUCAUCCAACAAACAUUGAAAUCUCUUAAGAAUUAAACAUGGCUUCUUCUUCUAAGUUAGUACUUGUAAUUUGUUUUAUGAUCAGUGCUUUUUGCAUUGCAAUUGGGGCCAAAUUCGAUCAAGAAUUUGAGAUAACAUGGGGUGAUGGCAGAGCAAAGAUACUCAACAAUGGGGACCUCCUAACUCUCUCACUUGACAAAAUCUCUGGCUCUGGUUUUCAAUCGAAGAAUGAAUAUCUCUUUGGUAAAAUUGACAUGCAGCUCAAACUUGUCUCUGGAAACUCUGCUGGCACUGUCACUGCUUACUAUGUAAUUCCCUUAAUUUCUUUUCUUAUAUAAUUUUUGAGCUAUACAUGUUUAUUGAGUUGAAAUGAAAUUGAACUUCUUUUUUGAAAAUUUAUUGCAGUUGUCAUCACAAGGACCAACACAUGAUGAGAUAGAUUUUGAAUUCUUGGGAAAUCUAAGUGGUGAUCCUUAUACUCUCCAUACUAAUGUAUUUAGCCAAGGCAAAGGAAACAGAGAACAACAAUUUCAUCUAUGGUUUGACCCUACUGCUGAUUUCCACACUUAUUCCAUCACUUGGAAUCCACAACGCAUCAUGUAAACAUUCAAUCUUUCUUCAAAUCUAACACAUUCUUUUAAGGAUAAAUCUUGAUUUGGGGUUCUCUUAUUUUUUGAUUGAACAGAUUCUAUGUGGACGGAACGCCGAUUAGAGAAUACAAGAACAGUGAAUCGAUGGGAGUUUCAUAUCCGAAGAACCAAGCAAUGAGGAUAUACUCGAGUCUUUGGAAUGCAGAUGAUUGGGCUACAAGAGGAGGACUUGUCAAGACUGAUUGGAGCCAAGCACCCUUUAGUGCUUCUUACAGAAACUUCAGUGCUAAUGCAUGUAUUCCCAGUUCUUCAUCUUCUUGCAGUUCCAAUACUACAACUUCAACAAGCAAUUCAUGGUUGAAUGAAGAGUUAGAUAACACAAGUCAAGAGAGGCUCAAAUGGGUGCAGAAGAAUUACAUGGUUUAUAAUUACUGCACUGAUUCUAAACGAUUUUCACAAGGAUUUCCAGCAGAUUGUGUUCAGAACAGCUAAGCAUUUACAGUGAAAAAU
rnacentral:lncRNA from 1 species